rnacentral:rRNA from 1 species
ACGUACACUCCUGCGGGAGGCAGCAGUGGGGAAUAUUGCACAAUGGGCGCAAGCCUGAUGCAGCCAUGCCGCGUGUAUGAAGAAGGCCUUCGGGUUGUAAAGUACUUUCAGCGGGGAGGAAGGCGAUAAGGUUAAUAACCUUGUCGAUUGACGUUACCCGCAGAAGAAGCACCGGCUAACUCCGUGCCAGCAGCCGCGGUAAUACGGAGGGUGCAAGCGUUAAUCGGAAUUACUGGGCGUAAAGCGCACGCAGGCGGUCUGUCAAGUCGGAUGUGAAAUCCCCGGGCUCAACCUGGGAACUGCAUUCGAAACUGGCAGGCUAGAGUCUUGUAGAGGGAGGUAGAAUUCCAGGUGUAGCGGUGAAAUGCGUAGAGAUCUGGAGGAAUACCGGUGGCGAAGGCGGCCCCCUGGACAAAGACUGACGCUCAGGUGCGAAAGCGUGGGGAGCAAACAGGAUUAGAAACCCCAGUAGUCCCAUGAU